rnacentral:rRNA from 1 species
GGUUUGAUUCUGGCUCGAUUGAACGCUGGCGGGAUGCUUUACACAUGCAAGUCGACCGCAGCACGGACUUCGGUCUGGUGGCGAGUGGCGAAUUGGGUGAGUAAUGUAUCGGAACGCGCUAGUAGCGGGGAUAACUACGUGAAAGCGUAGCUAAUACCGUACAUGCCCUUCGGGGGAAAGCGGGGGACCUUCGGGCCUCGCACUAGAGCGGUCGAUAUCGGAUUAGCUAGUUGGUGGGGUAACGGCUCACCAAGGCGACGAUCCGUAGCUGGUUUGAGAGGACGACCAGCCACACUGGGACUGAGACAUUUCCGCCCAGACUCCUACGGAGGCAGCAGUGGGGAAUUUUGGACAAUGGGGGAAACCUGAUCCAGCCAUCCCGCGUGUGCGAUGAAGGCCUUCGGGUUGUAAAGCACUUUUGGCAGGAAAGAAACGGCACGGGAUAAUACCCCCGUGCAACUGACGGUACCUGCAGAAUAAGCACCGGCUACACUACGUACCAGCAGCCGCGGUAAUACGUAGGGUGCAAGCGUUAAUCGGAAUUACUGCGUAAAGCGUGCGCAGGCGGUUCGGAAAGAAAGAUGUGAAAUCCCAGAGCUUAACUUUGGAACUGCAUUUUUAACUACCGAGCUAGAGUGUGUCAGAGGGAGGUGGAAUUCGCGUGUAGCAGUGAAAUGCGUAGAUAUGCGGAGGAACACCGAUGGCGAAGGCAGCCUCCCGGGAUAACACUGACGCUCAUGCACGAAAGCGUGGGAGCAAACAGGAUUAGAUACCCUGGUAGUCCACGCCCCAAACGAUGUCAACUAGCUGCUGGGGCCUUCGGGCCUUUGUAGCGCAGCGCCAACGCGUGAAGUUGACCGCCUGGGGAGUACGGUCGCAAGAUUAAAACUCAGCGAAUUGACGGGACCCGCACAAGCGGUGGAUGAUGUGGAUUAAUUCGAUGCAACGCGAAAACCUUACCUACCCUUGACAUGUCUGAAUCCUGAAGAGAUUUGGGAGUGCUCGCAAGAGAACCGGAACAUGGUGCCGCAUGGCUGUCGUCAGCUCGUGUCGAGAUGUUGGGUUAAGUCCCGCAACGAGCGCAACCUUGUCAUUAGUUGCUACGAAAGGGCACUCUAAUGAGACUGCCGGUGACAAACCGAGGAAGGUGGGGAUGACGUCAAGUCCUCAUGGCCCUUAUGGGUAGGGCUUCACACGUCACAUACAAUGGUCGGGACAGUGGUCGCCAACUCAAGAGGGGGAGCCAAUCCCAGAAACCCGAUCGUAGUCCGGACUGCAGUCUGCAACUCGACUGCGUGAAGUCGGAAUCGCUAGUAAUCGCGGAUCAGCAUGUCGCGGUGAAUACGUUCUGGUCUUGUACACACCGCCCGUCACACCAUGGGGAGUGGGUUUACCAGAAGUAGUUAGCCUAACCGUAAGGAGGGCGACUACCACGGUAGGAUUCAUGACUGGGGUGAAGUCGUAAC